rnacentral:misc_RNA from 1 species
UUUCCGUAGGUGAACCUGCGGAAGGAUCAUUAUUGUAUAACCGAGGUGCGAGGGCUGUCGCUGACCCGAAAGGUCGUGCACGCCCGAGUGCCCUCACACACAUCCAUCUCACCCCUAUGUGCACCACCGCGUGGGUCCCCCUUUGGCUUGUUCGGAGGGGGGCUUACGUUUUCACACAAACUUUGUAUGCAGUGUAGAAUGUAUUUUUUGUUUUUGCGAUCACGCAAUCAAUACAACUUUCAACAACGGAUCUCUUGGCUCUCGCAUCGAUGAAGAAUGCAGC